AACGAACGCUGGCGGCAGGCUUAACACAUGCAAGUCGAGCGCCCCGCAAGGGGAGCGGCAGACGGGUGAGUAACGCGUGGGAAUCUACCCAUCUCUACGGAAUAACGCAUGCAAACGUGUGCUAAUACCGUAUACGUCCUUCGGUGGCAAGAUUUCUCGGGGAUGUAUGAGCCUACGUUGGAUUAGCUAGUGGGUGGGGGAAAAGCCUACCAAGGCGACGAUCCAUAGCGGGUCUGAGAGCAUGAUCGGACACACUGGGACUGGGACGCGGCCCAGGCUCAUACGGGAGGCAGCAGUGGGGAAUAUUGGACAAUGGGCGCAAGCCUGAUCCAGCCAUGCCGCGUGAGUGAUGAAGGCCCUAGGGUUGUAAAGCUCUUUCACCGGUGAAGAUAAUGACGGUAACCGGAGAAGAAGCCCCGGCUAACUUCGUGCCAGCAGCCGCCGUAAAAC
rnacentral:rRNA from 1 species